GGUGCGCAUCUAGAUCUUUCACAAGUGUAGGCUCAUCAAAUUGAAUCCAGGUGGCACCAGCAGCCUUCAGCUCUGAAACAACUUCUUUGUAAACAGGAAGAAUUUUAUCAACUAGAGAGAGAAGUGAAAAGGAUUUCUCAACUCCCUUGGCUGGUUUCGAAAGCAACAAGAAGGAUACAGGGCCUACAAGAACUGGGACGGUCUCAACUCCAAGAGCUUUGGCUUCCUUGUACUCAU
rnacentral:misc_RNA from 1 species